rnacentral:rRNA from 1 species
CCUACGGGUGGCAGCAGUGAGGAAUAUUGGUCAAUGGACGAGAGUCUGAACCAGCCAAGUAGCGUGAAGGAUGACUGCCCUACGGGUUGUAAACUUCUUUUAUAUGGGAAUAAAAUGUUUCACGUGUGGGAUUUUGUAUGUACCAUAUGAAUAAGGAUCGGCUAACUCCGUGCCAGCAGCCGCGGUAAUACGGAGGAUCCGAGCGUUAUCCGGAUUUAUUGGGUUUAAAGGGAGCGUAGGUGGAAUGUUAAGUCAGUUGUGAAAGUUUGCGGCUCAACCGGAAAAUUGCAGUUGAAACUGGCAGUCUUGAGUACAGUAGAGGUGGGCGGAAUUCGGGGUGUAGCGGUGAAAUGCUUAGAUAUCACGAAGAACUCCGAUUGCGAAGGCAGUUCACUGGACUGCAACUGACACUGAGGCUCGAAAGUGUGGGUAUCAAACAGGAUUAGAUACCCGUGUAGUC